rnacentral:rRNA from 1 species
GUGACUGCGGAGGAUCAU